CGCAUCUGUGCAUGCAGCAUAUCAAUAAGCGGAGGAAAAGAAACUAACAAGGAUUCCCCUAGUAACGGCGAGUGAAGCGGGAAGAGCUCAAAUUUGAAAUCUUAAAGGGUUUCCCUUUACGAAUUGUAGUUUAAAGAAGUGUUUUCUGUUGAGGUUUUGGUAAAAGUUCUUUGGAAUAGGACAUCAUAGAGGGUGAGAAUCCCGUAUUUGACCUUUACUUUCAACUUUGUGAUACACUUUCAAAGAGUCGGAUUGUUUGGGAAUGCAGUCCAAAAUGGGUGGUAAAUUUCAUCUAAAGCUAAAUAUUGGCGAGAGACCGAUAGCGAACAAGUACCGUGAGGGAAAGAUGAAAAGAACUUUGAAAAGAGAGGUUAAACAGUACGUGAAAUUGUCAAAAGGGAAGCGUUUGACACCAGUGUUGUUUUUCUGAAAAUCAAUUAAAGAACUGUUUAUGCUAAGUUGUUUAGACUUUAUCAGCUAACUGUUUAGUUUUGAGCUUUUCUUUAAUGCACUUUUCAGUUAACAAGUCAACAUCAAUUUCUUUUGCUGUAAAAAAGCUUGAGGAAGGUGGCUUGAGAUUCGUCUUAAGUGUUUAUAGCCUCUUGCCUAUGCAGUCGGAGAGAUUGAGGUCUGCAGCGUAGAUCCUUCGGGGCUAAAUGCAUUUGUGCUAAGUUAUAGCAUUUUAUAGACAACUUGUUGACUAUGAUUUGUCUUGUAGCUUACUCGCUUAUGUUAUUUUACCUACGCUUAGGAUGUUGACGAUCAGCUGAGCGCG
rnacentral:rRNA from 1 species